CCAUACAAACUCCCAACUUCAGAUAGCAUCAUCUUCAUCAUCAGCGCUUCGUCUUCUUCUCCUUCUUCACAGCCUGGCUACAAGCAAGCAACAAUGGCGAUCUCCACGCUGACGUUCACCACCCCAAAACCCCACAACCCCUUGCAAUCCCUCGGUUCCAAGCACUCCCCUGUUUCGAAGCCUCCCCUGUCUCCUCCUCCUCCCUUUCCUCCUUGCUUCCCUCGUUCUUGCUCCUCGCUUGCCAGCAACGCGAUGAUGUGCGUGAGCUCGAGCUCCGCGGCGAAGACGCUCGCGUCGAACGUGGGUGUUGGAUUUUUGGCGGCGUCUGUUCUGGCUCUGUGUCCGUUGGAUGCUGACGCGACCAGAGUCGAGUACUACGCCACCGUCGGCGAGCCCACGUGCGAGCUCAGCUUCGCUCGCUCCGGGCUUGGUUUCUGCGACGUCACGGUUGGUCCGGGCGAGGAGGCCCCUCGUGGUGAGCUUGUCAAUAUUCACUACACUGCACGAUUUGCAGAUGGUAGAGUCUUUGAUAGCAGCUAUAAACGUGCUAGGCCUCUUACAAUGCGUGUUGGUGUUGGAAAGGUAAUCAAAGGACUUGACCAGGGGAUACUAGGAGGUGCUGGGGUGCCACCAAUGCAAGUCGGUGGUAAACGUAAGCUUCAGAUUCCUCCACAGUUGGCAUAUGGGCCAGAACCUGCAGGAUGCUUUUCAGGUGACUGCAAUAUACCUGCCAAUGCGACUCUCAUCUAUGACAUAAAGUUGGUGGGUAUCUACUCGGGAAAUGCAAAGUGAAGCCAGCCCAAAUCCCCUGCAUUAUAAAGUAAAUAUGAGGACAUUGAAGGUGUGUUGAGGUUUCAUUUUGGAAGUAAAGAACGAAAUCUGUCCCAUGAUGAUGAGAAAUGUGAAGGAGACAAUCUGCUUCACAUUAACGAACAUAGAGCCUAUGUCUCUGACCUGUCACUUCUGUCCAGAAGAGAAAUAUGAAGAUCCCGGCUAAUGUCUCUUGGCUGGCUUGGAGCCACUAACUGUCCAUCUUCGUUGCCUUGAACGGUGCAAUUGUCAUCUUGGUUGACACUUUAGUACGUGGUUCAUCUAUCCACGCGUCGAGCAACUUGAGUUUUGUAAUGAAAUCAGAUUCUGCACUCUGAAUGUAUUGAUAAAUAAGUGUUAAGAUGAAAGCUUCAUGUUAAAUUGA